CUACGGGCGGCUGCAGUGGGGAAUAUUGGACAAUGGGGGAAACCCUGAUCCAGCAAUGCCGCGUGUGUGAAGAAGGCCUGCGGGUUGUAAAGCACUUUCGGUUGGGAGGACUGCUUCUAGCACUAAUAUUGUUGGAAGUUGACGUUACCUUCAGAAGAAGCACCGGCUAACUCCGUGCCAGCAGCCGCGGUAAUACGGAGGGUGCAAGCGUUAAUCGGAAUUACUGGGCGUAAAGCGCGCAUAGGCGGCUAGAUCAGUCGGGUGUGAAAGCCCCGGGCUUAACCUGGGAACUGCAUCCGAUACUGUCUAGAUUGAGUACAGGAGAGGAGAGUGGAAUUCCACAUGUAGCGGUGAAAUGCGUAGAUAUGUGGAGGAACACCAAUGGCGAAGGCAGCUCUCUGGCCUGAUACUGACGCUGAGGUGCGAAAGCGUGGGGAGCAAACGGGAUUAGAUACCCGAGUAGUC
rnacentral:rRNA from 1 species